rnacentral:tRNA from 1 species
GCCGGGGUGGCGGAACUGGUAGACGCGCCGGAUUCAAAAUCCGGUUCCGGCAACGGAGUGUGGGUUCGAUUCCCACCCUCGGCACCA